rnacentral:lncRNA from 12 species
UUUAAAAAUGUAUUUUUGAAAUUGCAACAUUAUUCCAUUUUACUUAGAAACAGCAUGAAGUUCUCAUUCAGUUCAGUUGGCCCUAGCAGAGUCAUGCUGAAGGGGGCAUUGAUCUCUGUGCUGGAUUUUGGGAGAUCCUGUGGGUCCUUAGGGCUGCUGCCAAUGUUUUACCCUUUCAUCAAACAUCUUUCUCUUCUCCCCCUCCCAUAUCUCCCUCUUUGACACUACAUGAUCCUUCUCAGUAUUGCCCGAUAGUGAUCAAAGUAGAAAAACAUUUUUAUUUAUUAGAUGUGCUUAUCUCUUUCCUUGUUUAUACAUUUUGCCAAUAAAUGUUACAAAUAAUAAUGCAUGUUGAUGAAUUUGUUUCUCAUAUGAGAAUCGCAUUCUUAGGAUGUGCACUCCUCAUAAACUGGGACCAUGAAGAAGGACCCUGCCCUGAAGCUGCUCAAAACCAUCUGCAGUUCCAGAAGACCCUGAACUGUAAUGAGAUGAGGCUUUAGCCCUGCUGCUCUGACUGCAACUGCAAGAAGAUCAGCUGGUAAUCCAACAGCUGCCAUUCACCCUAGAGAUACUGCACUCAAGUCUCCUCCCAGUCUCUGCUCCUGCACAAGAAACAUUCUGCAGAUCGAUCCGGCCUUUGAUCAAGUUUCUAUCAGGCUGUCCCAGUCCUCAAAGAUCAAUCAACCUCUCUUUUAUUUAAGUCACAUAAGUAGUGUAUUUAUUCAUUCAGUUAGUAUGGAAUUUGUGGGAUGAGAUCUCUAGUUGCCAGGAAUAUGCAGUGAAAGUGAGAUUGCUGGGUAGUGAAACUCAGAAUUGGAAUCCAUCAGAGUGACUGAGAACUGAGCCAAGGGAACAGCAUGCAGCCCCCAGAUCUCCAGGGAAAGCCCGCUGCUGCUGCUCCAGGGGGGCUGAUGGUCUACCUAUGAAGGAGAUGGAGUAGGGACAGUGUGAAGCACAACAGACCAGCAGUACUGUUGGGGGAAGAGUGAGAAGCAGAAGCCUAAAUGACAGUCUUCAGACACCGCAUGGUCCCUGUCUGUUUCCAAAUGGCUCUUGUAGCAACAAAAAUUAAAGAUGAACCUUGAUUUCUUUCCACCAAUUAAGCUCAGCUACUUAAAAAAAAAAAAAAAAAAAAAGACAAAAAACCCACCUGGUUCCUUUUUACGUCUAAGGAGAGAAUGUUUAACUGGCGUUUUAUUUUUUUUUAACUGGCAUUUUAAA